UAAGGAAUAUUGGACAAUGGGCGCAAGCCUGAUCCAGCCAUGCCGCGUGAAGGAUGAAUGUCCUCUGGAUUGUAAACUUCUUUUAUUUGGGACGAAAAAAGAGCAUUCUUGCUCACUUGACGGUACCAAGUGAAUAAGCACCGGCUAACUCCGUGCCAGCAGCCGCGGUAAUACGGAGGGUGCAAGCGUUAUCCGGAUUCACUGGGUUUAAAGGGUGCGUAGGCGGGUAGGUAAGUCAGUGGUGAAAUCUCGGAGCUUAACUCCGAAACUGCCAUUGAUACUAUCUAUCUUGAAUAUUGUUGAGGUUUGCGGAAUAUGUCAUGUAGCGGUGAAAUGCAUAGAUAUGACAUAGAACACCUAUUGCGAAGGAAGCAGGCUAAACAUAUAUUGACGCUGAGGCACGAAAGCGUGGGGAUCAAACAGG
rnacentral:rRNA from 1 species